CGCAGACCGUGCGUAUCGCGCCGGCAAUUAAUCCCGUAUAUUUGUAGCUGAAGUCACAAUGCUCAUUUCAGGAUGGAGCUGGAGUGAGGAGACCCUAUCUAUAUCUGUAAAUGGAUGAUAUCAUUAUUUUGGGAAAUGGAAGUUUAAGCUCUGCGAAACGUACAAUCCCACGGAGAUCUCCGUGGAGGAACUUGUGUGUGCAGGUGUUCAACGUGAUAAGUGAGGCGUUACAUGAUACGCGGUGAUACACGUGUUUCUGGAGCGGCAGGCGUCUGUGAGCCCCUGCGGUAUAUCUCAUCCUUCCUCCCAGUCUAAACAAAGAGGUGCGCUCACAAACACGCUUCUCAUGUCGCGGAGGAGAACCGCGGCUCCGUCCUGUGCCCGGGAAGUCUGGGGAUGUGAUUCAUGCUGGAAGCGUUGGUGAGAAACCCAUAUUUUAUUUCUCAGAAAACUCGAAUGGAGCUGGAUUGAGGUGCCAAGCUCAGAACAGCAAGCCUCGGGGCCUGGCGGAGCCCAGGUGCUGACCCAGAUGUGGGUCAGAUCACUGCUCGUUCCAGCCUCUGGUGACUCGCGGUGUCAGUCCAGGCCCAAAGCGAGGAGAGAGGGCGCACGCUCCAGGGCUGACUGGAGACGCACCAGCAUGGAUGGCCAGAUCCGGCUCCCAGGCGUCUCACGCAUCCGUCCUCUGCUCUUGGCUCCCUGCUGCAAGUCCCCAAGCCGCCCAAACUGUCCUCCUGACACAAAGGCCGCCUUCACCUCGACCCUGCCGGCCCAGGUGCGUGCCCAGGCUCACCACCCUGCU
rnacentral:lncRNA from 1 species